AGCGAACGCUGGCGGCAGGCCUAACACAUGCAAGUCGAACGAACCUUUCGGGGUUAGUGGCGGACGGGUGAGUAACACGUGGGAACGUGCCUUUAGGUUCGGAAUAACUCAGGGAAACUUGUGCUAAUACCGAAUGUGCCCUUCGGGGGAAAGCUUCAUCGCCUUUAGAGCGGCCCGCGUCUGAUUAGCUAGUUGGUUGAGGUAAUGGCCCACCAAGGCGACGAUCAGUAGCUGGUCUGAGAGGAUGAUCAGCCACAUUGGGACUGAGACACGGCCCAAACUCCUACGGGAGGCAGCAGUGGGGAAUCUUGCGCAAUGGGCGAAAGCCUGACGCAGCCAUGCCGCGUGAAUGAUGAAGGUCUUAGGAUUGUAAAAUUCUUUCACCGGGGACGAUAAUGACGGUACCCGGAGAAGAAGCCCCGGCUAACUUCGUG
rnacentral:rRNA from 1 species